rnacentral:rRNA from 1 species
GAUGAACGCUGGCGGCGUGCUUAACACAUGCAAGUCGAACGAAGCACCUUAUUCUGAUUUCUUCGGAAUGAAAAAUUUGGUGACUGAGUGGCGGACGGGUGAGUAACGCGUGGGUAACCUGCCUCAUACAGGGGGAUAACAGUUAGAAAUGGCUGCUAAUACCCCAUAAGACCACAGCACCGCAUGGUGCAGGGGUAAAAACUCCGGUGGUAUGAGAUGGACCCGCGUCUGAUUAGGUAGUUGGUAGGGUAACGGCCUGCCAAGCCGACGAUCAGUAGCCGACCUGAGAGGGUGACCGGCCACAUUGGGACUGAGACACGGCCCAAACUCCUACGGGAGGCAGCAGUGGGGAAUAUUGCACAAUGGGGGAAACCCUGAUGCAGCGACGCCGCGUGAGCGAUGAAGUAUUUCGGUAUGUAAAGCUCUAUCAGCAGGGAAGAAAAUGACGGUACCUGACUAAGAAGCACCGGCUAAAUACGUGCCAGCAGCCGCGGUAAUACGUAUGGUGCAAGCGUUAUCCGGAUUUACUGGGUGUAAAGGGAGCGUAGACGGAGUGGCAAGUCUGAUGUGAAAACCCGGGGCUCAACCCCGGGACUGCAUUGGAAACUGUCAAUCUGGAGUACCGGAGAGGUAAGCGGAAUUCCUAGUGUAGCGGUGAAAUGCGUAGAUAUUAGGAGGAACACCAGUGGCGAAGGCGGCUUACUGGACGGUAACUGACGUUGAGGCUCGAAAGCGUGGGGAGCANACAGG